rnacentral:sRNA from 1 species
UGUGUGUUUACUUGUAAAAACUUAAAUGAGAAAAUAACUUUCCGGUGUCAGCCUUUUUACUUGACUCAUUAAUCGCAGUGCCUCACACGGCACCUGCCACCUGAAAAGCGCUGAGUUUGUUUACUGGAUGAUUGACUGGAAUGAACACAGAUAGCUUUUUACCUUUGCUUUACAGGGUUUGGAAGCUGGCUUUGCAUCAUAUUUGGUUGGCGUAACGGCAAAGGGGACAGAGAAAUAGGAAGGACCUCAGUGUAGGCUGGAGGCCACAGGCCAGAGGCCAAGUUGAUUGGAAUCAAAUCAGGCUUUGGAAAGGAGUCUGUGCUCCACAAGAGGAAGACACGAGCUGGACACGACUGCAGCCAUGAGAAUAACAUGAGAACUUCUCAUGUGAAAGUGGCUAGCCUCAGAGUGUUUUUGUUUUCAGCUAAAGACAUCAGAUCAAAAAGUGCCUUAAUCCAGCUCUGAAGAGCAAUGGAUAGUUUCCUGGGUUCCUAGCCAAUAACUGACUGAUGCAGUCAUUUAAUGGUGAAAUCAUGUCCACAAGAUGGCCCGUCAGAAUACUGCUUUGUGGAGCUAUAAACCAAAGUUGCACGCGCCCCCUUGCAGACAAACGAGGGUGAAAUGAGACAGGCAUGACAUGGCUGGAAGAGAGAUGGAUCAAAGGAUUUCCUUACGUUGCAAUCAAUACUAAGUGCUGCUUUGACAUAUGUUAUCCACCGGGAGAGCAGAACUGGAGUUGUCAUAAAGUAAUUAGAGGCUGGAUUGGGGAGCAUUGUGCAUGCCCUUCAACCAAAUGCCACAGAAGGACUGAAGUAGCAUAUACCUUGCUAAAGAUAAGAGACAUACAACUUACUCUGUGGGCACCCCACAAACGCUUCAUCACCGUCAUUUUGACCGGUUGUGGAUGUGUGCAUGGGUCACUAUUGUUUGCAGAAAAGAAUUCUUUGAAACGCUCGUCAAAUUUUCCAUUUAGUAGCGCAUCUGCAGACGGAGGCGCACGCCAUCACUUCGGAUGGCCACAGAUCAAGUGCCAAUCUAUUUUAGAGAGGACUGAAACAGGAGGCAGAAGGCUGAACUCAGGAAACUUGAAAUCUGACUGCAGUUUGCAUGUGAAGGCUGAGAUGGCCUUAAAUGCUUCUGCCUAUUCCAUGACAGCACGGCACAACUCUGAACAAUGAUGAGGAUGAUCACGUGAUUCUGCAUUUUCCUCUAACUUGGCAGAAGACUAAUCUAGAACCUUAUGACAGCCUAUGUAUUUUCCCGUGAUAACCACCCUUCUCUUAGUCCACAUAGCCCUGAUGACAUUAUCCCAACUCCAGCCUGUGAUGUUGGAAAAGGCUUGGAGAGAUUCUUUACCUCUGACUGCAAGUUCAGAGACUGGCACAGGAAGAAAAUAGAUGCAGGAGUUGACUCCAGAUGGAAUUCUGCUAGGAACUGUUAGGAAGAUCUUCUUACCUUAUUUUAGAAGGACGCAAUGCUGGAAAUGCUCAUGCCUGAAACAUAGAGAUGUCAUGUUUAAAAUACAGUUAUCAUGAACAGCACCGUGUCAAACGAUGGUAAAUAAAGAGAUACCAAUUAUUUAGUUUGAGCCUCUGAACCUAAGCAUGUCUGAAGCUGAAAUUAGUCAAGUAAAACAAAACACUGUGCCUCUAAAAAGUAUUGACACAAAGGAAUUAAUUUUGCUUUUUAAUAUACUACACGUUUUAUAAAGUGUACUGGGCAUAGAGGUACAUGCCUGUAAUCCCAUAACCUGGAAAGCUGAGAAUGGAGCUGUUACAUAUAGGGGUCAACCUGCAUGAAAGUGCAUGACUCAGCCUGAGAAACUAAGUCUAAAAUAAGCAACCAAGCAAGCUAAACAAAACAAUAAACAAUAGAACAAUAUACCAAAAUAUGGAUAUAUAUUCAAAUACCCUCUCCCCGGUGUCUCUCAGUCUCUUCCUGUCUACGUGACUGCCUUCCUGCUUGUCUGUCAGUCUGUCUGUCUUUGUCUCUUUCCUUGUCUCACUCUCCUC